CAAAGAGUGUCUGACAAAAGUUGUGGUCUCUUAAACCACCUAUGGUAUUAAAACUUCUACCCUCUUUG
rnacentral:tRNA from 1 species